UCCUCUGUGAGGAGGAAUCUGAAGAAAGCCGGCGGCAAACUUCUGGCCUGACGAACAGAAAUCCCAUAAGGCAUUUCCCGGUGGAUAAGGUUGCUAGUCAAACCGAAGUCCGAAGGCUAUACGGAACCGGGGGUGUAAAUGGGGCAGGCGGAUGGAAGGAAAGAGGAUGUU
rnacentral:ncRNA from 1 species